rnacentral:rRNA from 1 species
UACGGGGGGAGCAAGCGUUGUUCGGAUUUACUGGGCGUAAAGGGCGCGUAGGCGGCGCAACAAGUCACUUGUGAAAUCUCCGGGCUUAACCCGGAGCGGUCAAGUGAUACUGUCGUGCUAGAGUGCGGAAGGGGCUACUGGAAUUCUCGGUGUAGCGGUGAAAUGCGGUAGAUAUCGGGAAAGAACGACCCGUGGCGAAGGGCGGUUCUCUGGGACGGUACUGACGCUGAGACGCGAAAGCGUGGGGAGCGAACAGGG